GCUACGGCCAUACCAGCCUGGGUACGCCCGAUCUCGUCUGAUCUCGGAAGCUAAGCAGGGUCAGGCCUGGUUAGUACUUGGAUGGGAGACCGCCUGGGAAUACCAGGUGCUGUAAGCA
rnacentral:rRNA from 1 species